ACUAUAAUGUGACGGUUAUAGACGUAUAUGAAAGGGCAUUGAUAUACUGUCUAAUACAAUACAGAUUGAAUAAUAUUUAUAAACAGUACGCCUUUCGUCAAUAUUGCAGGUAAUAACUAUACUAUAUUUUGAUUAAUUUGACGUGUAGCUCGCCGCGAGAUGAACCGGUCGGGAUUACUGCUAUUACACGCUCCGUAAUUCAGUGUCGGUUUUUUAUGAACAUCGCCAAAUGAAGUCAACGCGCGGGCACAGGCACAAUAACACCGCUGCGGCAGCCGCCGUAGUUGUCGUAAGCGCGGGGCUCGUAGGCGAAUGACAAAACGAGAGGUGCGGGCGACCUGAAUGCAUAUGAUGAGUUAUGUGUGUAAGCGUACAAUUCUUGUUGUUCACGCUGAUUCGGCCUUGUGCCAUCUUCACAGUUUUAACACUCACUAUGCAAUAUAAUACUAUACUGCAGUCUACAGAAUUGUAUAAUCGAAACACGGACAAGAAAAACGGCCCAGAUCACCUAAAGAUAGUUAAGGCUUUUACACAGAAUUUUUUUUUUUGAACGUGGUUUUCAAAUCAAGAGGACAACAACCUUUUUCUUUUCAGUUUUUCAAUUCUAAUUCAUCAUAUACAAUACGCUGUAGUUGAACGAAAUGAAAUUACUGAACAAUUAUUAUUUUAACAAUUUAGUUAAGAUAUACAAUUGCCAAUUUGUCACGUAUGCGUACAAUUAACGUGUCCCUAAUUAACUUUGUAUAGAUUUUGAUUAUUAUAAUUAAUAUCAAAACUUCUUUUUUUAUACAGUGCGAAGUAAGUAGUUUUUAUUUUUAAAGACGACUUUAUCUUGUAAUAAAUCAGAUCCAAAAAUGACAAAUUACACUGAGAAAUUUCAAUAGAAAUGCGCUAACUGAGAUUAGAUAAAUAAUGAAAAUGUAGAAUUAAAAUCGUACGACAUGUGACAAAAUACCAUUAUGUUCAACCUAUAGUGGAUACUGGAUAGUGUAAUGGAUGAACUUUGAACUUCUUAUGUUUCAAUUAUGUUAUAAAUUAGAUAUUAUAUUUGCGCGUCUUCUUUCAAU